GGAGGUGACCGGAGUCUGGUGGCUUCCCUGGUCUUCAACACCAUGGACGCGCCUUGCGGCGUGUGGUGGGUUCGAUUCCCAUCCACCUCCGCCA
rnacentral:tRNA from 1 species